rnacentral:rRNA from 1 species
UACGUAGGGUGCAAGCGUUAAUCGGAAUUACUGGGCGUAAAGCGUGCGCAGGCGGUCUUGUAAGACAGAUGUGAAAUCCUUGGGCUUAACCCGAGAACUGCAUUUGUGACUGCAAGACUAGAGUGCGGCAGAGGGGGAUGGAAUUCCGCGUGUAGCAGUGAAAUGCGUAGAUAUGCGGAGGAACACCGAUGGCGAAGGCAAUCCCCUGGGCCUGCACUGACGCUCAUGCACGAAAGCGUGGGGAGCAAACAGG